rnacentral:rRNA from 1 species
CACGCCGUAAACGAUGGAUACUAGGUGUAGGAGGUAUCGACCCCUUCUGUGCCGGAGUUAACACAAUAAGUAUCCCACCUGGGGAGUACGGCCGCAAGGUUGAAACUCAAAGGAAUUGACGGGGGCCCGCACAAGCAGUGGAGUAUGUGGUUUAAUUCGAAGCAACGCGAAGAACCUUACCAGGGCUUGACAUGCAGGUGAAUAAUGCAGAGAUGUAUUAGUCCUUCGGGACACCUGUGCAGGUGG